UUUAACUUUAAACAGAAAGUGUCCAGGGGUAGUCCGGUUUCAUCAAGGCGUUUUGAGAUCUUUGAACAUUGCAGAAUGGGAGAUCAAUGCAAAAAUCAGCUGACAAUACAGGAGGGAAACGAGGAGACCAAGUGAGUUCAUUCCCAUAUCAGCAUACUCAGGAUGUCAGCUAACAGAUAAAGCAUUUCUGGAGGAUUCGUGGAAACAAACAGAAGAGCCUGAGCUUCUCUGGGAACUGUUCAACUUCUUUUCUGCCUGGACUGCAAAUUAAAGGGAAAAACAGCAGGUUGAUUUUGUAUCCAGCUCCUGAAGAAGGUCACAUAACUGAACUUUUCUCUUCAAGCUUCUAUUCUUAGUGUGAACUUUCACUGACUUCUCUAUUGGAGCCUUGUUUGUUUGUAAUUUAGUAAAUUGUACUACAUGUAGGAAAUGGACUUCAUGGCAAUAAAACUGAAGCCCCUGAAAAGAA